CAGAUCCAUCCAGGCACAUUUACCUUGUCAUAAUGAGAAUUCAUGUCUCCUGUGCAGCUGACACAUUGCUAUCGUGCUAUGCAGGUUCUCCAAAUAUGUCUGUCAUGUCAUUGUAACAAGCUCUGGAGAUUUCACACUGUUUGUGGCAUCUUUGUACAUCUUGAGGACUCAAUUUGCAUCAGGAAUUCUUUCACUGGAGCUGAUGCAAGCACCUGCUACUGAGAGGAUAACAACAACUUACCUAGAGUCAGUCAUGUGAGCUCUUGGCCAGCCAUCCCAACCAAGGCCCUCUCUAAGAGUCUGUCCUCCCAGAAACUCUAGAAGAAUCCUUGGGGCAGCUGUCUAUCUCAAACAACCCAGUGGAACAGAAUGAAUCUCAUACAAGAAGUUUUGGUUCAUAUGGAAGGGCAUGGCUGAAGCUGCUUAGUGUAAACCUGUGAUCCUGGCUUGUUGCUUGCAAUUAAUCCUCUGGUGUCCUUUGGCUCUCAGGGUACUUGUGUGGUCUGUUCACAUAUUGUUUCAAGGAAAAAUAACACAGCAUCAGGAGGAAAGACAUGGGGCCUGUCUCUGCCAACCUUGCUUUGCCCUUGUUCCAACUAAGCUAUGUGAUAGGAUCAAUGCCAAUUUGUUGUCUUUUUGAACUCAUUUUCAGUAGGAUUCUGAACAAAAUUA